rnacentral:rRNA from 1 species
UACGUAGGGUGCGAGCGUUAAUCGGAAUUACUGGGCGUAAAGCGUGCGCAGGCGGCUUUGCAAGACAGAUGUGAAAUCCCCGGGCUCAACCUGGGAACUGCAUUUGUGACUGCAAGGCUAGAGUACGGCAGAGGGGGAUGGAAUUCCGAGUGUAGAGGUGAAAUUCGUAGAUAUGCGGAGGAACACCAAUGGCGAAGGCAAUCCCCUGGGCCUGUACUGACGCUCAUGCACGAAAGCGUGGGGAGCAAACAGG